CAUUGUUCGGUGGGCUAGAAUGCUAGUCGAGCGCUCCUAGCUUGCUGGAGGCCGGCGACAGCUCAGUAACACGUGGCUAACCUGCCCUUGGGACGGAAAUAUCCCCGGGAAACUGGGGUCAAUUUCCGAUAGGCGAAGAACUCUGGAACGAGUCUUCACCCAAAAGACGUUUAGGGCAUGCUCCUAGACGUUGCCCAAGGAUGGGGCCGCGGCCGAUCAGGUUGUUGGUGAGGUAACGGCUCACCAAGCCUAUUACCGGUACGGGCCGUGGGAGCGGUAGCCCGGAGAUGGGCACUGAGACAAGGGCCCAGGCCCUACGGGGCGCAGCAGUCGCGAAAACUUCGCAAUAAGCGAAAGCUUGACGGGGCUAUCCCGAGUGCCAUCUGCUGAAGAUGGCUUUUACCUAGUAUAGAUAGCUAGGGGAAUAAGGAGAGGGCAAGUCUGGUGUCAGCCGCCGCGGUAAUACCAGCUCUCCGAGUUGUGGGGAUAUUUAUUGGGCCUAAAGCAUCCGUAGCCGGCUGAACAAGUCCCCUGUUAAACCCAGCGACUAAUCGUUGGUCUGCGGGGGAUACUGUUCGGCUAGGGGGCGGGAGAGGCCGUCGGUAUUCCUGGGGUAGGGGUGAAAUCCUAUAAUCCCAGGAGGACCACCAGUGGCGAAGGCUGUCGGCUAGAACGCGCCCGACGGUGAGGGAUGAAAGCUGGGGGAGCGAACCGGAUUAGAUACCCGGGUAGUCCCAGCUGUAAACGAUGCGCGUUAGGUGUAUCGGUGACCACGAGUCACCGAGGUGCCGAAGGCAAACCGUGAAACGUGCCGCCUGGGAAGUACGGUCGCAAGGCUGAAACUUAAAG
rnacentral:rRNA from 1 species